GGUUGUUGAUUUGAGACCACUUCUUGAUUAGAGAUGGGAUUUCCUGUCCCCUUCCCUCCUCAGCAGUGUGAGCUGUCCUGCUUGAAUAUGUUCUGCCUCCGCAUGAUUCCACAGCCUGUCUUUCGUAGUACAUUGAGAUGCAUACCAUGAGAACUAGUCCUCAUGGAGGAGGCUUUCAGAGACACUCGACUUUUCCUCCAUGGGUCAACUGAAGAUUCCAAACCUGAGGAGCCAAUGGAGGAAGUUGUUUCUGUCUCAUCAUCACACAGGCUUUAUUCUGGACUUCAGGCAUUCUCUUUUGCUCUCUAGAUCUCUAGUGGGUAGCUUUGAUCUGGAAGUUCCAACCUCCAAUGAGACUUCGGCAACUGUCACACCUACAAAGCAGGGCCAAGGGAGGCGCCUGGAGACCCGAGAUCUGGAUCGGCCAGCGCGCUCUCUGGUCCGGGACCCUGGACAGUGGAGGUGGGCCAAGCAGAGCUCCAGAGAACACCGCUGGACUGUGAUACACCUUCCCCAGACCCCGCGACCUACCUAUCCUUUAAUUUGGCUAACUGUUUGGCAGAACCAAUGACAGAGCUCUUCCCACAGGAAGAUUAUUUCUCCCACUCCCAGCAUUCCGCAGAUUGGUGCCUAGCCCAAUAGUCAUCAGACAGGCUUCAUCCAGCAACUGAUGGGAGCAGAUGCAGAGACCCACAGUCACACGUUAGGCAGAGCUGAGGGAACCCUGAAGAACACUGGAAGGAAGGAUUAUAAGAUCCAGAGUAGUCAAGGAAACCACAAGAAAACCCACACAAUCAACUAACCUGGGCUCAUAGAGGUCACAGAGACUGAAAGAACAGAGAGCCUGCAUGGCUGUGACCUAGGUCCUCUGCAUGUGCUAUGGUUGCAUAGUUUGCUCUUCUAAUAGAACUCUUAACAGUGAUAGUGGGAGGUAUCUCUGACUCUUUAUUCUACACUUGAACCUUUUUUUUUUUCUACUGUGUUUCUUCAUCCAACCUUGAUAACGAGGGUUUUUGUUUUGUCUUAUUGUAAUUUGCUAUGCUCUGUGUAGUUGAUAUCCCUGGGAGGCCUGUUCUUUUCUAAAGAAUGGAAAUGAAGGAUAUUCAAGGAAAUGGAGGAAAGGGAAGAGAGCGGAUAUCGGGGAGUGGGAGGUCUGUGGGGGAAAUGGGAGGAGUGGAGGGAGGGGAAACUUCAGUCGGGAUGUAAUGUAUUUACCGCCUUAAUCAUGUAUAAGUCGCAAGUGUUACAUGAAUCUGAACUGUCAAAUUGACAAAUCUCAUAAUUUGUCGUACAUUGUUAGUCUCUGUGUGCAUUAACUUAACUCACAAGCACUUGUUAACGGCACUCCCUGAAAAUCGCUCUUGUACCUGCUGUCUGUAAUUUGACUGCUUUUUGGCAACAUGUUAAUAGAGUGAUACAAUAUAUGUUUUCCUGUGUCUUUCUGCUUAAAAGAAAGUAUAAGUAAAAAUAUUAACAUAUACACACAAAAUUGCAUAUAUUACAACAAUUAAAGAAAAAAGAGAUCAUGAAUUGGAAUAGAAUCAAAGUGGAGUGCAUGUGAGGAUCUAGAAGGAUGAAAGGGAAGAGGGAAAUGAUGCAAUUUUAUCUUAUUGACAAAAUACAGAAUAAUUUAGGUUAUGUUCUCCAGAUUUAUCUGUGCUGGAACAAAAAAAAAGCAAAAACGUUUUUUUAUGAAUAUCUAAUACAAAUUUCAUGAAACAAUUGUGAGGGUUUUAAUUGUAAUGAAAUAUGCCUGGAAGAGGUAUUAUCAUUUGGCUAAGUGAAAUUGGAUGUGUGAAGAGCUUAAUGUUACUUUUAAGUCUGAUGAAUAUAGACAUAUAUAAUGGGCUAUUUUUACUGAAUCUUUACAUAUUCUCUUAAAAAUAUUUGGGUUCUAGAGAUCUUUCACUUAAUCCACUAAGGUAUAAAUGUGUGUAGGAAAGGAGAUUAAGUGGAAACAACCUAAUUUAAAUCUGCCAAUGCCCAUGUUAGCCUCUGCUCAGCUCUGCAUACAGAAUGUCUAUUGGCUUUAGUGCUAAAGCUGAAGGAAAGAAAUGCCUUGGCAGCCCAUUAUUGUCUAAGUGUAAUCAGGCACUUAGCAACACCGACUUUGGAGGCAGGCAUCCUGUGUUUGGAAACAGCAGUUGAAUCCACAAUGAGCUAGCUGAUUGCUCAGUUAGUGUUCUAAUGUGGAGAGCAGGGGGCAGCCAUACUGCACCUGAACCAAGGUGUAAAUUGGACAACAAGACAAUGCUCUUUAAACAUUAUUUUGCCUGCUUACUCAUUUGGCACUGGAUUUUCCUCAGUGUACAUUUUCCAGGUUGUUUGGCUCUGCUCUACUUUUUCCAUAGUGAUUAUGAAUGGCUGUUACACAGUCUAGCUCUAUCCUUUCUAAAAACUAGAAAAAUAAGCACAGUAUAUAUUAACAUGAGCACAAUACAUGUUAACAAUUAUAAAAGAAAAUAAUAGAAGUAAGAAUAUUAUAUUCUUCCUACCAUGUAAAGGACAUUUAAAGUAUUGUGAGUAUGUCAAAUAUUUAACUAAGCCUGUAGUAACAGGUAUAUAAUUCAAUUACAGCUACAGAUAUGUUUUUCACAUACUAGUGGAAGGUAAAUGUAAAUAUAAACACAAAUUAAUAUUCCUGGAAUGUAAAAUUAAUAGUGACUGUCAUGACAGAAUACUGAUAUUAGUAAAUCAUAAAACUGUUAUCAUUACUUAUAAUAUUUAAACGUAAACAAUGAUGUUGCCAUUAAGAAAGAAUCUACUUCUACAUUCCAAAUUACUUUUUUAAUGUAAAAUGUAUUUAAAAGACUCAAAGAAAACAUGUAGAUAAUAACAUACAAAAAAAAAACUUUGAAAAUUGUCUCAAUAAAACUGGAGAUGUUCUACCCCUCAAUAUAAAGUGUUCUUUGUAUAUAAACCUAAAUUGAUAGAAAUAUCAUAAU